AUUGAACGCUGGCGGCAGGCCUAACACAUGCAAGUCGAGCGGAUGAAGGGAGCUUGCUCCUGGAUUCAGCGGCGGACGGGUGAGUAAUGCCUAGGAAUCUGCCUGGUAGUGGGGGAUAACGUCCGGAAACGGGCGCUAAUACCGCAUACGUCCUGAGGGAGAAAGUGGGGGAUCUUCGGACCUCACGCUAUCAGAUGAGCCUAGGUCGGAUUAGCUAGUUGGUGGGGUAAAGGCCUACCAAGGCGACGAUCCGUAACUGGUCUGAGAGGAUGAUCAGUCACACUGGAACUGAGACACGGUACAGACUCCUACGGGAGGCAGCAGUGGGGAAUAUUGGAAAAUGGGCGAAAGCCUGAUCCAGCCAUGCCGCGUGUGUGAAGAAGGUCUUCGGAUUGUAAAGCACUUUAAGUUGGGAGGAAGGGCAGUAAGUUAAUACCUUGCUGUUUUGACGUUACCAACAGAAUAAGCACCGGCUAACUUCGU
rnacentral:rRNA from 1 species